CAGCUAGAGUAUGAUAGAGGAAAGCAGAAUUUCUAGUGUAGAGGUGAAAUUCGUAGAUAUUAGAAAGAAUACCAAUUGCGAAGGCAGCUUUCUGGAUCAUUACUGACACUGAGGAACGAAAGCAUGGGUAGCGAAGAGGAUUAGAUACCCUCGUAGUCCAUGCCGUAAACGAUGUGUGUUAGACGUUGGAAAUUUAUUUUCAGUGUCGCAGGGAAACCGAUAAACACACCGCCUGGGGAGUACGACCGCAAGGUUAAAACUCAAAUGAAUUGACGGGGACCCGCACAAGUAGUGGAGCAUGUGGUUUAAUUCGAAGAUACGCGCAGAACCUUACCAACACUUGACAUGUUCGUCGCGACUCUAAGAGAUUAGAGUUUUCGGUUCGGCCGGACGAAACACAGGUGCUGCAUGGCUGUCGUCAGCUCGUGUCGUGAGAUGUUGGGUUAAGUCCCGCAACGAGCGCAACCCUCACUUUUAGUUGCCAUCAUUAAGUUGGGCACUCUGAAAGAACUGCCAGUGAUAAGCUGGAGGAAGGUGGGGAUGACGUCAAGUCCUCAUGGCCCUUACGUGUUGGGCUACACACGUGCUACAAUGGUAUCUACAACAGGAAGCAAGACUGCGAAGUUAAGCAAAUCCCUAAAAGAUACCUCAGUUCGGAUUGCACUCUGCAACUCGAGUGCAUGAAGCUGGAAUUACUAGUAAUCGUGGAUCAGCGUGCCACGGUGAAUGCGUUCCCGCCCCUUGCACACACCGCCCG
rnacentral:rRNA from 1 species